CAAAUUGCAUUGUAUUCGAGAGCUGUUUUAGAGCUCUUUUGAUUUUAGUCAGAGUGGAUGCGGGAAAGACUAAUUUAGAUGUGGCUAGGAAAGGUGUGGCCAAUCUUUCAUUGUUUAUCUUUAUGUUACUGUUUCACGUGGUGGACAGAGAUGAUAAAUUUUUUGCAUUUUACAUACAAUCCCUUGUCUACAUUUUUGGAUAUAUUUUGGACCUCUUAUAUAAUGUUGUGUAGGAGCUAGGUAUGUGUCUUGUUACAAUUUUUUUAAUAAUUUUUUCUUGAUUUAUCAAGAAGGCAAUGUAAGAAAGGAUAUACCCUUUUGGAGAGGAGGGUGUAGUUCACUACUUCGGUGGCACUUUCUUUCCCAUAUUUUAAAAAGAUUACUGUGAGCCCUUGGCAAUAAUAUUUACCGAAUGCUGCUUAGUGGAGAGACUAUAUUUUCAUGAUGCUAUUUGAAUAUAUUUUACAUUCAUUUUCUUGAUUCUCUUGUGAUUACCUGACUACUUGAACCAUGAAAACCAAUUAUAUGGUCUCAUCUUCUACGUGAAAAUUUCAUUGCUGAAGAAUCAGUCUUCUAUUGCUCUUUUUGCAUCAGGCUCAGACCCAGAAAAGGAGACUAGAAGAACAGCGGCCACAUGUUUGAGGACAUUUUGAUGGACAAACAGGGCCUGAUAAUGCAAACGGUGCAGGUGAAUUAUUAAAAUAUAUCUUGUGAUCAUAAUUUCCUACUUUUUUCUUUGCAAGAAACCACCCACUUGUGCAGGAACAUGUUUUUCUAGCAUUUGUGAUUAAUUCUAGAAUAAUGAUUGAAUCCUUGGAACAGUUUGAAGAAAUUUGAUUUUGGCGCAGCCUUUAGAUGAAUCGUUACUUUUUCAGCAACAAUUUGUUAUUAUUAUUAUUUUUAUCUUGAGUAAUAUGUCAAGUAACUUGGAUUCCCUCCCGUUUCUCUGAUCCUUUUGAAAAUUCUAUCUAAUCAUCAAAAUGCAUGACUGAUUGAUGCAAAUGAAGAAAAUUCAUGUUAUUUAACACAAGUAGUCAUGUAUUAAUGUUGGAAAGGGUUUUUUUUGACUUACCUAAGUGUUGGAG
rnacentral:lncRNA from 1 species